UCUUCCUCCCAGCGGGGGAGGGGAGGCAGGACGGGUGGCUGUGACCCUGUCCUUUCUGCUGGGCGCUGGGACUCUCUGGACCGGGUUCAGGACCCAGGGCUCCUGGGAAUCGGGGUUGGGCUGAGGGGCUCCAGGAAGGCUCACUGAACCCUGCUAACAGGAUCUACCCAGAAGCUGGAAAAGAGUGACCACGUGUGACUCCCACGCUGACCGGCAGGUUGGACCAUUUCUUCACACAGGUAGCAACAAACAUGACUUGACCUGUGAGAUAACACGCCUAGCACCUGGACGGAGGGCGUCGUGAAACGACCUCGGAUGGGACUGGAGAGGGGACCAGCCUCCAAUCUCCCACAUGCUGUGGACCAAAGCCAUGACCCGGGAGGGUGGAUCCAAUCGUCUCCAGUGCUAAGAGGGUGAUGGUUCAGGGUGGAGCCCAGAGCGGACGGUGGGGCUCAGGUAAGUGUGACUGUGCUGUGAUCCGAGGUGUGAGAGGCCCAGGCCCUCCUCUGGGCUCUGCUGCCAAGUAGGGAUGUGGCCCUGAGAUGAGCUAAUUUAACUGGACCUCAAUUCCCUCGGGAUCGUGGAAUAAAAGCUCUCAAAGGUGA